AAUUCUAUUGAUUUGAGAGAGAGAGAGAGAGAGAGCGAGGCGAAGCAGAAUUUGAUUCCUCUUCGCAUUUUAUCGUGUUUCUCUGUUGAUGCGGGCCCAAGAACCAGCCAUCGAAGGCGGAGCUCGCCAGGAAGCAGAGGAUCGUCGAGGAGGAAGACCUUUGGGGGUUGAAGAACAAGAACACAGAGCAAGAAUGUCCGUUCCCUGCCCCCUCACUAGUCGAUGGAUUCCUCGCUGAUCUAACAACUACAGUAACGGGAGGGGGAGGAGGAGGAAGAGAAGGCGUCGGCCAGCCCAAAGUUCCAAUUAAUAAAUAGGGGGGUUUUCGUCGUCUUCUUUUCCUCUUGGUCUCUGUUGUAUUACCGAUGCGCGUGUUGAUGUUCUUAGGGUUAUCGACUUGCUUAUGUGUAGACGCUAGUUCCGCGAGGCGGGCAGGUACCAAAAGGGUUCCGACUGCAAGUUCUCGCAUGAUCUCUAUGCCCAGAGGAAGGGCGUGGGGAUCGACCUCUACAGCGACCAACGCGGUCAAGUAAGGGAAACGCAAAAAGAGGAAGAAAGAGAAGCUGGUUUUGCUGCAAUGAGCGCUGAGCAAGCUAACAAUGAUUGGAUAAGUUGUGGUAAUUCGUUAAUUCCAUCAGAUUCAAGUGACGUUGAGGCACAUGAGAAGUACGCAAGGGAAGAACCAUUUACUGAAGAAGCUGCUGAGUGUCUAUUUGAGGCAGCAUAAACCAGAAGUGGUUUCACACAACCAAAAUCCCCUGUUGACAUUAGCAAUUUUAGGCCACCCUUGCCAUGAAAUAAAAAUUAUUUAUACACCCUUAUAAUUAAUCUUCACCAAUCGGCAGUUAUAUAGUUAGUAGUCGUAAUUAUCACUAAGACCUUUCAAAAUCAUUUUGAUAGUUUAACCAACUAGAAAUGAUUAGUUUUAAUUCUUUUGAUGAAUAUGGCUUCCUAAUCGAAAGAAAAUAUAUAUGUUGUAUUAAAAUUUAUAAUGACAAAUAUGGUGUUCCCAGACCUUGCAAAUAGUCCUACUGAAUUGGAAGGCGAAGAACUGAAGCUAAAAUCUGAAACAGUAAGGGAACCCAAAGCCAGCACUAGUCACAGAGUCUUCACUCCGUUGCUACGACACCUUCGAUAAAGAAGACAAGCAACGGAGACACAACACACAUCCACUGUGGAUGAUGGAGGUAAUACAGGCAUAGGCAACUCAUCAGCUUCGGCCUCCUCGAGAGCCGUCGCGAACAGGGGUGGUCGACGCCGGGCUGCCACCGCAGCCGGCUUCGGCCUGGCAGCUGUGAUCUCCGGGAGCACUGGAGCCGACGGCUGAGGUGAACUCCUUGAAGAUCCUGACCUUGAUCUGUCCUCUCUUGGGGUAAGGGUUUCCGGCUGGCUUCUCGGGGUACUUAGGACCUGUCGAGUUCUCCAUCUCGAGGGGACUUAAUGGGCGAUAGAGAAGAGAAGAAGAGGCCAAGAGAUGAAGCGAGUGCCGGAGGAUUGGUUAUCUUUGGAGGGUGAGCAGCACCGUGCACGGGAAGAAGGGCGUGGGUACGUUUAUGUAGGGGGGCUGCAAAUGGAUCGGAUCUGCAAACGAUACCCGAAUCCACCUUUAAUCAAAUCAUGGCCUUUAGGAACUCCAAUUAACACUCCGACAAUAAUGCGUAUACAUCCUCCUAUUUAAUAUUUUUGUGUUCAUCAUUUUAAAUCCAAUUGUAGCGGAAUUAGUAAUAAUCAUGGGAGGCCACCAGUAAGAUGCGAUGACUCGAGUGUCAAGCUUGUGAUUGCCACUUGCAGGGUCUCACCGCCCACGCGAUUAAGUGCGGCCCCACUCCAUCCAAACUUCACAUCAUAAGAUUGUGUUCUUCCUCGCCGACGUGACAAUGGUCUCCCAUUAUUCUCCGUUCUCUAUCCAAGAAUGGAUUUAAUCUUGUGUACACAUGUGAGAAUUUAUUUAUUUAUAUAAAAUUAAAUACUUACUAGUUGA